GGAAAUGGCAACCCACUGCAGUAUUCUUGCCUGGAGAAUUCCAUGGACAGAGGAGCCUGGCAGGCUGCAGUCCAUGGGGUCACAAAGAGUCAGACACAAGGGAAUUACAGAUCCUCUUGUUGUCUUCCCUGCGACUUCCCUGGUGGUUCAGAUGGUAAACGCAUCUGCCUACAAUUCGGGAGACCUGGGCUCAGUCCCUGGGUCGGAAAGAUCCCCUGGAGAAGGAAAUGGCAACCCACUCCAGUAUUCUUGCCUGGAGAAUCCCAUAGACAGAGAAACCUGGUUGGCUACAAUCCAUGAGGUCACAAAGAGUUGGAUACGACUGAGUGACUUCACUUUCUGUCUUCCUUGUAUCUUUAGAAAUUCUCUCCUCUUGAAUGUUCUUCAUCUAUUCAAAGGCCUAAUUUUCAAGAAUUAGUGCCCUCCCCAAUUUUAUUACAAAUCUUUCUUUGCUCUUUAUGAUCUAAUAUUUUUCCCAUCUUAGUUCCUAUGGAACAUAUUAUAUGUACCAUUAAUUUAGCAAUUAAGCAUUUCUUGUCAUAUCUUCUACUUCUGCCUCAUUUUGAAAACUCUCUUGCUUUUUCCUUCUUUCUGUAACCUGCAGAAUAUAGUGAAAUACCUUGCACACAGAAUAAAUAUUUAUUGAUAUUGAUAUUGAGUUUCUUUAAAUCAGCUUGGUCAAGCCAUUCAUUUAAUAACAGCCUAACCCAAGUCACAAGGAGAUUAAGUAAAUUGCUUAUGGUUGCAAAAGUCUUAGAAAAGUUGAUCAAAAUUCAUAUUUCCUAAAUUUUGAUCUGGUAUCUGCUGGUGUGUCGUGCUGCUUCUAUAUUUGGAAAACAAUUAUCAAUAACCUAGAGCUUUAUCUUCGCUUCAUAUUUCCAAAGAAUAUGAAUAUAAUAAUAUAAAUCCAAAUAAUAAACCUUAGAUGAAAACAGUAAUGUUUGAACUUAGCAUGGAAAUCUGCUGAAAUCUAGAAAUGCCUUUGUCUCAUAUGACUACCCUAAACAUUUUGCUUAUUAUUUUUCUAGGAAUAUUUUAAUAACCAUUCAUAAUGCUGAGCAACUAGUCACACAGCAUUCUCCUCCAUUAUGGUAAAGUUCCUAAAAGAAGAGGCCCCAUCUGCUUCAUCCAUGAGCAUAUGGGAGUCUAGUGCCUAAUAUAAAGUCUCUGUAUUAGAAGACUUGCAGUCUACUAAGUAUGAUGAAUACGAAGAUGAAAAGGCAUGGACUCCUAAGGUACCUACAGUGAACUUCCAGGAGAGUCAGACAUAUUGAUAGUUAUUCACAAUGCAAUGCAGUAUGUGCCACCACAGAAUCAUGCGCAAGCAUGACUGACUGAACAUGAUCUGCAACUCUUCCUGAAUCUCCAGCCUGCCAAGCCUCCCCCAUUGAAUUUUGGACUAACUAAAUCUUCACAGUUGUGUGAGCCAAAUCCUCAAGAAGCUACAACUCAAGCAGAAAGGGAUUUAUUUUGGAGAGUCUAUCUUAAUUAGAGAGUAUUUGCUGGAUCUUUAACAGUCAACAUUGGAGAGAAAGAGAGGCAAUCAUUUCCAAAUUUUUCUACAUUACCUACUAUAACCAUGCUUCCUGCCAAAACACAUGAUGUCUGUGUUGUGUGAAAUGGUAAGUUGAAUUUAUGGCUUAUAACAGAGUUGAGAACUAAAUUUAUGCAAUUUCAGCAAAACAAAACAUCAUUUAGAACAUUAUAUGUUAAAAAUAAAUAGUUUCCUACUUUUUUUUAUUCAACCCUCAAUUCCUUUCCUAAGGCAUA